UGUAUUAAUGAUGUUUGAUUUAUAUAUUAUUUUUUCCGGUCUUUUUUUAUGAUACAAUUUUUUUUCUCUUAGAAUUUUUUGUUUGUUUACAUGAUUAUGGUUGUUUUACACUAUUGCAGGAAUCCAAUAUAGAUAUUGUUUACUAGACAUAGUACUUUUCACUUCUUGUUGUUUGUUUCUAGGUAGUUGUGCAAUUUUUUUUAUAAAAAAGUAUCUU